GACGAACGCUGGCGGCGUGCCUAAUACAUGCAAGUCGAACGCAGUUGCGAACGGGUGAGUAACGCGUAGGUAACUGCCUCAUAGCGGGGGAUAACUAUUGGAAACGAUAGCUAAUACCGCAUACUGUGAGAUGGACCUGCGUUGUAUUAGGUAGUUGGUGAGGUAAAGGGUCACCAAGGCGACGAUACAUUGCCGACCUGAGAGGGUGUUCGGCCAAAAUGGGACUGAGACACGGCCCAAGAUCCUACGGGAGGCAGCAGUAGGGAAUCAUCGGCAAUGGGCGGAAAGCUGAACGAACAACGCCGCGUGAGUGGAGAAGGUUUUCAGGUCGUAAAACUCUGUUGUGAGAGGAGCGGUAACUAAAGAGAAAGGAACGGCUAACUACGUGCCAGCAGCCGCGGUAAUUC
rnacentral:rRNA from 1 species